GAGUUUGAUCGUGGCUCAGAACGAACGCUGGCGGCAUGCCUAACACAUGCAAGUCGAACGGGAUCCGGACUUCGGUUCGGUGAGAGUGGCGGACGGGUGAGUAACGCGUGGGAACCCGCCCAGUGGUGGGGGAUAACUGCGGGAAACUGCAGCUAAUACCGCAUGAGCCCGAGAGGGGAAAGAUUUAUCGCCAUUGGAGGGGCCCGCGUUCGAUUAGGUAGUUGGUGAGGUAAUGGCUCACCAAGCCGACGAUCGAUAGCUGGUCUGAGAGGAUGAUCAGCCACACUGGGACUGAGAUACGGCCCAGACUCCUACGGGAGGCAGCAGUGGGGAAUAUUGGACAAUGGGGGCAACCCUGAUCCAGCAAUGCCGCGUGAGUGAUGAAGGCCUUCGGUUGU
rnacentral:rRNA from 1 species